GAUGAACGCUGGCGGCGUGCUUAACACAUGCAAGUCGAACGAUGAAGCCCAGCUUGCUGGGUGGAUUAGUGGCGAACGGGUGAGUAACACGUGAGUAACCUGCCCUUGACUCUGGGAUAAGCCUGGGAAACUGGGUCUAAUACUGGAUAUGACUUCUCAUUGCAUGGUGGGGGGUGGAAAGAUUUAUUGGUCUUGGAUGGACUCGCGGCCUAUCAGCUUGUUGGUGAGGUAAUGGCUCACCAAGGCGACGACGGGUAGCCGGCCUGAGAGGGUGACCGGCCACACUGGGACUGAGACACGGCCCAGACUCCUACGGGAGGCAGCAGUGGGGAAUAUUGCACAAUGGGCGCAAGCCUGAUGCAGCGACGCCGCGUGAGGGAUGACGGCCUUCGGGUUGUAAACCUCUUUCAGUAGGGAAGAAGCGAGAGUGACGGUACCUGCAGAAGAAGCGCCGGCUAACUACGUG
rnacentral:rRNA from 1 species